rnacentral:rRNA from 1 species
CGUGUAGGCGGCUAAGUAAGCUUGGUGUAAAAGGUGUCGGCCCAACCGGCAUUAUGCGCUGGGAACUGCUUGGCUUGAGUUUAGGAGGGGGAGCUGGAAUUCCUGGUGUAGGGGUGAAAUCUGUAGAUAUCAGGAAGAACACCGGAGGCGAAGGCGAGCUCCUGGCCAUAGACUGACGCUGAGGCGCGAAAGCGUGGGGAGCGAACA